rnacentral:rRNA from 1 species
UACGUAGGGUGCAAGCGUUAAUCGGAAUUACUGGGCGUAAAGCGUGCGCAGGCGGUUAUGUAAGACAGUUGUGAAAUCCCCGGGCUCAACCUGGGAACUGCAUCUGUGACUGCAUAGCUAGAGUACGGUAGAGGGGGAUGGAAUUCCGCGUGUAGCAGUGAAAUGCGUAGAUAUGCGGAGGAACACCGAUGGCGAAGGCAAUCCCCUGGACCUGUACUGACGCUCAUGCACGAAAGCGUGGGGAGCAAACAGGAUUACGAAACCCUUGUAGAUCC